rnacentral:rRNA from 1 species
AACGAACGCUGGCGGCAGGCCUAACACAUGCAAGUCGAACGGGAUCUUCGGAUCUAGUGGCGGACGGGUGAGUAACGCGUGGGAACGUGCCCUUUGGUUCGGAAUAGCUCUGGGAAACUGGGAGUAAUACCGGAUACGGUCGAGAGACGAAAGAUUUAUCGCCGAAGGAUCGGCCCGCGUUGGAUUAGGUAGUUGGUGGGGUAAUGGCCUACCAAGCCGACGAUCCAUAGCUGGUUUGAGAGGAUGAUCAGCCACACUGGGACCGAGACACGGCCCAGACUCCUACGGGAGGCAGCAGUGGGGAAUCUUAGACAAUGGGGGAAACCCUGAUCUAGCCAUGCCGCGUGAGCGAUGAAGGCCUUAGGGUUGUAAAGCUCUUUCGUGGGGGAAGAUAAUGACUGUACCCCAAGAAGAAGCCCCGGCUAACUCCGUGCCAGCAGCCGCAGUAAGAC